rnacentral:rRNA from 1 species
GUAAGUUUGGUGCUAGUAGCUGCAAUAAUUCUAGCUCCAAUAAUGUAUAUUUAAUCGUGAGGGAAAGAUGAAAAGGACUUUGAAAUGUGAGUCAAAGAAUGCUUGAAAUUAUUAGGAGAAAAACUAAUGGGGGCCAAUGAUGCACCCCAAUUAGAUGUGGAACAAUGAGAGUCAAUCUAACGAUUGACUUGGGGCAUGGAUAGAUGUGGGUCACAAUAGAGGCCUAAGCCUAGGCUAUUAAUAUGCUCGUAGAGACGUUGUCUCUAUGAUUGUAAAAUGCAUCAUGCACCAUCUUGACAUGCCUCAGCACCCACAUACUUUGGACAUCAGCAUGCAAGCUUCCUAUUUAACCCAUCUUGAUACAUGAACUAAAAAGCCUAGCAUUUGUGUGUGUCAUUGGGUGAAAAAGCCCAUAAAGUGUAAGGAAGAUGAUUGGUGGGAUCUAUCAUGGGUGCACCACUAACUAACCUUGAUCUUUUGAGAAUGGUUCAAAUGCGAGCAUGCAUGUCAGGACCUAAAAGAUGGUGAACUAUGCUUGAGUAGGGUAAAUCCAGAAGAAACUCUGGUGGAGGCCUACAGUAAUAUAGACUUGCAAGUCAUUCAUCUGACUUCGGUAUAGGGGUGAAAGACUAAUUGAACUAUCUAGUAGCUAGUUUUAUCCAAAGUUUCCCUUAUGAUAGCUGGAGCCCUUAGCGAGUUCUAAUAGGUAAAACCAAUGAUUAGAGGUAUAAGCACAUAAUGUCCUUAACCUAUUCUCAAACUUUAAAUACGUAGGAUGGUGCAGCUACCUCAUUAAGCCAUGCCACGAAAUCAAGACCUCCAAAUGGGCCAAUCUUGGUAAGCAAAACUGGUGAUGCGAGAUAAACUAAAAGUUAGGUUACAGUGCCUAACUACAUGCUAACCUAGAACCCAUAAAGGGUGUCAGUUGAUUAAGAUAGCCAGAUGGUGGUCAUGGAAGUCAAAAGCCACUAAAGAGUGUGUAAAAGCUCACUUGUCAAAUCAACUAAUCCUAAAAAUGGAUGGUGCUUAAGUGCAUGACCCGUACCUAGCCAUUGGGGCAAAAGGUAAGCCCCAAUGAGAAGAAAGGUGUAACGAUCAUCACAAAAGCCAUGGUGCUAGCCUAGGCAAAAUGGUCGUCAAUGUCAAUCUUGGUGGUAGUAGCAAAUAUUCAAAUGAGAAUAUUCAAAGUAAAAAAAGGGAAAGGUUCCAUUUGAAUAGCAUUUACACAAGGGUUAGUCAAUCCUAAAAGACAGGGGAAGCCCAUUCGAAAAUGUGUCCAGUGUGAGCUUUGAAAGGGAAUUAGGUUAAAAUUCUUGAAUCGAAACACAAUGGCUGACGAUAGCAAUAAGAAGUCCAAAGAUGUCAGUGGAGGCCUUAAGAAGAGUUAUCUUUCUUGUUUAAUGGCCUGCCUACCCUAGAAUGGCUCAGCUGGUGGUAAGGUCUAGUGGAUGGAAAAGCAUCGAACAUCAUGUGGUGUCUAGUGUUUCCCUAGUUGCCCUUGAAAAUCUAGAGGACCAAGUGCUGUCCACACUUGGUCGUACUCAUAACUGCAUUAAGUCACCAUGGUGAAUAGCCUCUGGUCGAUGGAACAAUGUAGGCAAGGAGAGUUAGUAAAAUGGAUCCAUAACCUCAAGAAAAAGAUUGGCUCUGAGGGUUUGGCAUGGGGUCCCUAGUCCUAAACCCAUAAGCUAUUGGUGCACUACUCGAGCUGCUUUUAUAGUGAGAGUGGGUCAUCACAUGCUGGCUAAGGGAUGGACUAGGAAUGGCUCCCUUGAAGGCCUUUCCCAGGCAAUAAACAACUGACUCAGAAUUGGUAUGAAUAAGGGGAAUCCAACUAUUUAAUUAAAACAAAGCAUUGUAAUGGUCCAUAUGGAUGUUAAUUAAUAUGAUUUCUACCCACAGCUUGGAACAUCAAAGUGAAGAAAUUCAACCAAGUGUGGGUAAAUGGUAGGAGUAACUAUGACUUUCUUAAGGAAGCGAAAUGCCUUAUCAUCUAAUUAAGGAUGAGCAUGAAUGGACUAACGAGAUUUCCACUUUCCCUAUCUACUAUCCAGUGAAACCACAAUCAAAGGAACAGACUUGGUGGAAUCAAUAGGGAAAGAAGACCUUAUUAAGCUUGACUAUAGUCUAACUAUGUGAAAUGACUUGAAAAGUGUAGGAUAAGUAUGAGCCUUAUGGCAAAAUUGAAAUACCAUUACUUUUAACAUUAUUUUACUUAUUUCAUGAAUCGAAGAUGGGGCAUGACCUCUUUUUUUAAACCUAAGGCUAGCCUUGAUCCAUCGAUCCAAGUGGAAGACAUUGUUAGGUGGGGAGUUUGGUUAGGGUAGCAUAUCUGUUAAUAGAUAACGUAGGUGUCCUAAGAUGAGCUGAGUAAGAAGAGAAAUCUCAUUUGGAACAAAAAGGUAAAAGCUCAUUUGAUUCUAAUUUCUAGUAUGAAUACAAACCAUAAAAGCAUGGCCUAUCGAUCCUUUAGACCUUUGAAAUUUGAAGCUAGAGGUGUCAAAAAAGUUACUAUAGGGAUAAUUGGCUUGUGGCAGCCAAGCAUUCAUAGCAAUGUUGCUUUGUGAUCCUUCAAUGUCAGCUCUUUCUAUCACUGUGAAGCAAAAUUCACCAAAGGUUGGAUUGUUCACCCACUAAUAGGGAACAUGAGCUAGGUUUAGACCAUCGUGAAAUAGGUUAGUUUUACUUUAUUAAUGGCAGCAUCACAAUAGUAAUUCAACCUUAUAAGAGAGGAACCAUUGAUUUGCACAAUUGGUCAUCAAGCUUAGUUUAACAGUUAAUGGCUCGAAGCUAUUGUGUGUUGGAUUAUGAUUGAGUCCUCUAAGUUAGAAUUUAGGCUAAAAGUGACACAUGUGCCCACUACCCAAUUGCUAACCCACAGUAAGGGCCCAUGGCCCCCAAGGGCAUGUGUCAUAAGUGCAGCCCCUAUGGCAAACUAGCCACAUAGGCCUCCUUGGAGCUAAAUUCCCUCUGAGUGAUAGGUAGAAUCCUUUGUAGAUGACUUAAAUAAGCAACUGGGUAAUGUAAGCAGCAAAAUGGGCUUGCUGCCAUGAUCAACUAAGAUUCAGCCCUUUGUUGCUUCGAAUCAUCCCUCUCUCUACA